GAUGAACGCUGGCGGCGUGCCUAAUACAUGCAAGUCGAGCGAACAGACGAGGAGCUUGCUUCUCUGAUGUUAGCGGCGGACGGGUGAGUAACACGUGGAUAACCUACCUAUAAGACUGGGAUAACUUCGGGAAACCGGAGCUAAUACCGGAUAAUAUUUUGAACCGCAUGGUUCAAAAGUGAAAGACGGUGUUGCUGUCACUUAUAGAUGGAUCCGCGCUGCAUUAGCUAGUUGGUAAGGUAACGGCUUACCAAGGCAACGAUGCGUAGCCGACCUGAGAGGGUGAUCGCCGACCCGGGAACUGAGCCAGGGUCAAGACUCCUACGGUAGGCACCAGUAGGGAAUCUUCCGCAAUGGGCGAGAGCCUGACAGAGCAACGCGGCGUGAGUGAUGAAGGUCUUCGGAUCGGAAAGCUCUGUUAUUAGUGAAGAACAAAUGUGUAAGUAACUGUGCAGAUCUUGACGGUACCGAAUCAGAAAGCCACGGCUAACUACGUG
rnacentral:rRNA from 1 species